GGUGUUGCAGAUUGCUAUUGCUUCACCCCCAGACCCAGUUUGCGCCCCCAGUUUGUUUGUUUAUUUUUAAGUGCUUAUUCACUUAAGUGCUUAUUUAAAUAAGUGCUUAUUCACAUAAGGGCUUAUUUAAAUAAGUACUUUUUCUUUUGAAAAUAUUUUUUUUGAGUUAGUAGAUAAUUAUUUGAUUAAUGAAAACACUUUUUUUUAAGUAAGUGAUUAUUUAAGUUGCUUUGUAGAAAAAGUGCUUAUUUGAACAGAUGUUUAUCUAAGCUUUUGAGUCAAGUGUUUGCACUAACAAAUAAAUGAUCUUUUUAGAUCACAGAUUUUUGUUGGCUUAUUGUUAUAAGUCAUUUUAUUUGCUUAUUUGCUUUUUAGCUUAUAGAAAAAGUGCUUAUUUGAACAAAUGCUUAUUUAAGCUUUUGAGUCAAAUUUUUGCACUAACAAAAGAGACCUUCUUAGGUUAUUUGUUUUAUUUUGGUUGCUUUAUUUUGAUGAGAAUUUUAUUUGAUU
rnacentral:lncRNA from 1 species